rnacentral:rRNA from 1 species
AGAACUUGAAACCGUGUGCUUACAAGUAGUCAGAGCCCGUUAAUGGGUGAUGGCGUGCCUUUUGUAGAAUGAACCGGCGAGUUACGAUCUGAUGCAAGGUUAAGCAGAAAAUGUGGAGCCGUAGCGAAAGCGAGUCUGAAUAGGGCGAAUGAGUAUUUGGUCGUAGACCCGAAACCAGGUGAUCUACCCUUGGUCAGGUUGAAGUUCAGGUAACACUGAAUGGAGGACCGAACCGACUUACGUUGAAAAGUGAGCGGAUGAACUGAGGGUAGCGGAGAAAUUCCAAUCGAACUUGGAGAUAGCUGGUUCUCUCCGAAAUAGCUUUAGGGCUAGCCUCAAGUGAUGAUUAUUGGAGGUAGAGCACUGUUUGGACGAGGGGCCCCUCUCGGGUUACCGAAUUCAGACAAACUCCGAAUGCCAAAUAAUUUAACUUGGGAGUCAGAAUGUGGGUGAUAAGGUCCAUAUUCGAAAGGGAAACAGCCCAGACCACCAGCUAAGGUCCCAAAAUAUAUGUUAAGUGGAAAAGGAUGUGGCGUUGCCCAGACAACU